rnacentral:lncRNA from 1 species
UCUGGCCCCAACCACACCCAAACAGAAAUCCCCAUUAUGAUAUACCUUCCAAGCAGUCCUUUUGCCUAAAGCUCUCUAGUGAUGAGAGCCAAACAAAAAGCCCCUUUACCAAACCCUGAGCACUAAGCAAAGAGAAUCAUCCCCUACAAGAGGGAAGUGCCUGGAAGCAUUUUGUGUCAAACCAAGAAGUAAUUAGAUGUCCAGACAGACAUCCACUAACAUCCACCCAAACCCUACUGUGCAUCAAAGCUUCACUGAACCCUUUGCUAGGACUUCUUCACUUCAACUCGGUCCAAGAUGGAGCCACACAGAGGAAGAAGCAGAUAACUUGUCCUUCCCCCACCACAAACAAAAGCAAGAAGAACAGGAGGGAAGGCAAGGAAUUGCGUCCAGCAGAUUAACAGUCCCUUGAUGUUUGGACACUUCCCAGUAGCUCCAUGAGUUUUGAUGUUGAUUUGGGACUUUGAGUUCUCUUGUCUGUGUAUCCUCAGCCUCCCAUAAUGGCUACCUUUCUUCCUCUGAGGUGACCAUGACAAUCAGCAGCACUGAUAGCAGCUCUCCUUCUUCAAGGGGAACCAAUGUGCUAAUGAAGAUUGCCCAGUGGUGUCUGGCACAUCCGAUUCAAUGCAUUCUCCGACUCCCAUUAGAGAGAUAUUUCAAUAAAGAGUGCUUUGUGUGUUGAUUUUCCCUCGUG